rnacentral:rRNA from 1 species
UGGGGAAUUUUGGACAAUGGGCGCAAGCCUGAUCCAGCAAUGCCGCGUGCAGGAAGAAGGCCUUCGGGUUGUAAACUGCUUUUGUACGGAACGAAACGGUCCGGGUUAAUACCCUGGGCUAAUGACGGUACCGUAAGAAUAAGCACCGGCUAACUACGUGCCAGCAGCCGCGGUAAUACGUAGGGUGCAAGCGUUAAUCGGAAUUACUGGGCGUAAAGCGUGCGCAGGCGGUUUUGUAAGACAGGCGUGAAAUCCCCGGGCUCAACCUGGGAAUUGCGCUUGUGACUGCAAGGCUGGAGUGCGGCAGAGGGGGAUGGAAUUCCGCGUGUAGCAGUGAAAUGCGUAGAUAUGCGGAGGAACACCGAUGGCGAAGGCAAUCCCCUGGGCCUGCACUGACGCUCAUGCACGAAAGCGUGGGGAGCAAACAGG